CACAAAUUCGUAAUUACGGUAAAGUCCACAGAUUUAUAAAAAUAUUUAAUUAAAGAUAGUAAUGGAGUUAUUAUAUUAAAAAAAACACAUUUAUUAUACUCUAUGCCAAGUUUUGACGUACUGCUGUGGUUUGUAAUACUGUGAUGUUUUUAUUUAUCCAAGCAAGUAUAAAUGUAUUUUAAUUAAUAAAAACAGAGAUGAUAUUUUUAUAUAGAAUUGUGUUUAUAAAAUGAAUAAUUUUUGUUUUAAAUAUUACUUAAAACAAUUAAUAGUUCUUUUUGGAUUAUAAUGUUUUAUUUGUUAGUACAAUAAAAAAGUAACUUUUUAUUAUACAUGUAUCUACCCUAUUACAAGAUAUCAUAGUUUACACUAUCUUCACAUUUUUCGACCAUUUUAGGUUUAAAAUAAAUUGAAUCUAAGCCGACAUUAUUUGCUUGAGUAUUAACAUUAUGAUUAGAAAAGUAACAGGAAAAUUCAAAACUGUUAUUUAUUAAAUUCAUAGAAGUUUGAGAAGAUUUAUCCUCAACGUAUUUUACAUCAGGACAAUCAAGUUUAUUUGAUACCGGUAAAUUAUCAAAUAUUACUAAAUUAGUAGGUAUAUUUGUAUUACAAGAUUUUCACUUUUGUGUACUGGAAUUCUAUGUUUGUAUAUUUUAGGAAAUGUUAGAUAGAAUGAUGGACUAUUUAGGUGUUUGGAUGGUUUACCAUCAAUAAAAUGUUCACUAUAUAUUCUUGAGUUUUGAUUCGGUUUUCAUGGUUGAUUGUUAGAGCUAAAACUGAAUAGAUAAUUACCACAAAUAAUGAUUAUAAUUAUAUACAGUUUUAAUUAAAACUAAGCACAUAUUACAUGAAUGAAAGUUAAUUUUUCAUUCAAUAUUCAAGUAGAAAACUUCAUAAAUUAUUCAAAUUAUAAAUAUUAUUUGUAUUAUUUUGGGUCACCAUAAUAUAUAAAUACCAUAUCAUAAUUACAUGAAAUAGCUCAUACUUAUUUAAAUAAAUACCAGCUAAUAGCUCAACAGUAAAAAAGGGUAAGCACAAGGUUACAAUAUAAGGUCUACAAGGGGAUUUUAUUCAACAUAUAAGAGUAUUAGUUUUAGAUACCUACAUACCUUUUCCACUUCACUGCUUGAAUCCAUUUUUUUUUCUGUAUAAUGCCAUGUGAUUUACUAGGAAACAUGAAAACAUUUUUCAUGUUUCUAUAAGUAUUUGUACAACCAACAAUAUAACAAACCUCAUUUUACUAUUUUAUAGGUACCUAAUAAAUAUUAUAUCAUUGGCAGAAAACAAAAACAGUUUGAAGGCAAAGAUGGGAUAAAUAAACCCUUUAUACGCAUUAUAUUAAUUAUUAUAUUAUUAUAUUUAAUUACAUUAGUUAUAAGUAAAUUAAUUCCAUAAAAAAGACAUUUUUGAUUAAUUUACUAUUUUCAUUAAUAAUUGUAUACCACAAAAAGUUUGAAUGUUGUCCGCUAGCACGCAUACUACGCACAUGCUCUACGCCUAUUUAAUAGUCUAUACUACAAAUUAAUUAUCUUGAUUCGUGGUCUAUAACUUAUCAUAUAUAAUCAUUAGGGAAUGGAUUUGAAUGCAAAUUGCAUUUUUUUCUGAAUGUCAGAAAACAUUGCUUUCCAAGCACAAAGUUCAUUUCAUACAUCAAGGAAUUAAGAAAUGUAACUUUUUUUUUGCAUUUUUUGAUAUUUUUAGGGCAUUUUUAUGUUUUUAAGUAAUUUUUGUAUAGGAAUGGAUAAAAUUCGAUAAAAAUGUAGAUUAACAUUCAUUCUAAACAAAUAAAAAUAAAUAUUUCUUAUGUUUUUACCGAUCAGAUAAACCUUGACUCCAGACAAAAUUAUUGUUGACACUCAUAUAUACAAGUAAAGAUAAGAUAAUCUAUUUAUCUAAAUUGUAAUUUUGCAUUACACUGUUGAGUUGAGUCACUGUGCUUUAUAGUUCCCAUGAGCUUAUUAUGACCUAAAAAUGACGGACAUACUUCGCACGAUGGGUGCAGCCACUGUUGAUGAAGAGUAGGGAAUGUAGGGUACAUAGGAGAAAUUAAUUUCUAUCUGUAAGCAACGAUAAACCAUUGCUAACGAAAAAAUGAUUCUGAGCGGAGUUCAGUUGAUAUUGAUGCUUUGUCAACAAUAUGGUAAAAUAAUUAAAUAGGCAUUACACGUUAUCUUUAAUAAUAUUUGUUUAAUUAGUUAUCUGUACCACAUACUAUAUUAGAUUUAAUCAUUGGUUUCAUAUUGGGUAGUGGAUAAGUAGUGGUUUCACCUUCAAAAUAGGGGUGAAAAAAAUGAACGUCAACAUUACAAUGUUUAUUUUUUUUUUCUGUAGACGACUUCAACAAGCAGUUUUUCUCAGAUUCAGAAUGAUAGCACUUUAUUUUUAAAGGAUAUCUGACUGAGGAGGUACUUUAUGGAGGUAAUUUUUUCGAAUUUUCCUAAUAAAUUAUAAAACCUAACCUAACAUUUUCAUUAUUUUUAAACACGAUGUUUUUUACCAGUAAUAUUGCUCCAAUCCAAAAAUGAAAAGAUAUCCAUUUUGUUCCUUAUGGC